UACGUAGGUGGCAAGCGUUGUCCGGAAUUAUUGGGCGUAAAGCGCGCGCAGGCGGUCCUUUAAGUCUGAUGUGAAAGCCCACGGCUCAACCGUGGAAGGUCAUUGGAAACUGGGGGACUUGAGUGCAGAAGAGGAAAGUGGAAUUCCAAGUGUAGCGGUGAAAUGCGUAGAGAUUUGGAGGAACACCAGUGGCGAAGGCGGCAUCCUGGACCGAUACUGACGCUGAGGAGCGAAAGCCAGGGGAGCAAACGGG
rnacentral:rRNA from 1 species